GCCGCUGUAGCUUGAAGGCGGUACUUCCUCCAGCAUUUGCCGCGAGUUAUUGGCAAGUUCCCCUGCAGUUGUUUGGGCUGUCGCUGUGGCUGGUUCUGGGGUGUGCGGCCAGCCAUGGAGCGCUCUGGGCCGAGCGAAGUGACAGGCUCAGACGCGUCGGGACCGGACCCGCAGCUUGCGGUCACCAUGGGCUUCACUGGGUUCGGUAAAAAAGCUCGCACAUUUGACUUGGAAGCAAUGUUUGAACAAACUCGAAGGACAGCUGUGGAAAGAAGUCGCAAAACACUGGAAGCAAGAGAAAAAGAGGAAGAAAUGAACAGAGAGAAAGAAUUAAGAAGACAAAAUGAAGAUAUUGAGCCAACAUCCUCAAGAUCAAAUGUGGUCAGAGAUUGCUCCAAAUCAUCUUCCAGGUCCUACUGGGUAGGUGAUAUCAGCUGGACGCAUGAUAGUCUUUUUCUGGCUUGUAUGUUAAAACGUGGCUCUCUGGUUUUAUUGACCUGCCAAGGUGAAUUGCUAACAUUAAUUACAUGUGGUUGCUCUAUAGAAUUUGGCCCAGCAGAAUUUAUUCCUCUUCAUCCACUAAUAACGUAUAGACCACAGCAGUUUACGUUUCAAGAUUCAAAUAAUUCUGUUGAUUCAUCAGCUUCUGAUAGUGACCCUAUGAGACAGAGAUUUUCUAUAAAAGCACACUCACGGUUACCCUACCUCGUUAUAUCUGAUGGAUAUAUGGUCACAACCCUUCGAUUUCUUGAUAGCCUAUCUCCAUCAGUACACAUGAGAUCACUUCUACUUGAUUCAACCCAGAGGCUUGAGAAAAUAUAUCAAAGUGUGAUAUUGUCUAAGCCAAAAGGCAAAGGACUGAACUUGCGAUCACUGAAUUCCCUAAGAUCUAGCCUGUUAGAACACCAAGGAAAUGAAAGUUCAGCCGAUUUCACUGUCCCCAAAUUCUUGCAGGCAGAAGAAACAAUAAAUGAAAAUGCAGCAGAUUUUCAGGAUUUUGAAGCAGAAGAAACUAACGAAGGCAGACACUUUCCAGACAACUUAUUUCCUUUUUGGAACAAAAGAGAUGAUGUGCUGUGUUGUAGUAUGAAGGAAGGAAGAUUGGAAUUUGCAUCUAUGUUUGAUACGAUACAUGCAAAGGAUGAUAGUGAGGAGACAGAUAGAACCAUUACAGAACUGCAUUCUAUCCAGAAAAGUCUACUUGCAGCGUGGACUAUAGGAAUUUCAAAAACUGUGACAGAAAAAAAUUUAAUGUUAAAUUACGUAGUAGUUUGUAUCACUCAUUUUUUUUGCAUUCUUCAAUUUAUAAAAUGUCCUUUUCCCAAACUUGAUCUUGUUUUAAGCAAAAGCUCAAGACAUAAUGCGUGGAUACUUUGUAUCUUUCAACUUUUUCAUCAGUGUUUAUCAAUCCAUUAUUGGGAUAUAAGAUACAAACAAGAUGUGGGGCAUUUGAUAAAGCUGACCUCAAAUACUAUAAAACUUUUGCUGACUCAGCAACAAAAGGGUCAGUUAUUCUCAGAGAAACUUUCAGCUUGUUUUUAUUUACUCAAAAUGGUAGCUGACAAUUUAAAUGGUGUAUACAUUCUUCAACCUGAAGUUAUUUCAGCAUCGGCUGAUGGAAGUAAAAUAACAGCUCAAGACUCAUUGGUGGUACCUAUUUUUCAGAUGUUUCGAGAUAGUGGUUUUCAGAAAAACUGGUCUUGGAACUCAUUUUUCAAGAUUCAUCCUCAAGUAGUAAAUCCUGUGCAACAGCCAGGACACAGAUUGCUUAUUCUCUGGAGAAUGCUGUACAAAAAAACUUUAUGGUAUCAAGCACAAUUAAAUCGAAGAGUUCCUGAAGCUGAUAGUCAGUUAACUGAAAAGAUGACACAUGAAGCAUCUACUGUCAAGUCCCUGUUAUGUCAUUUGCAGGCUAACCUACAGAGUACUGGUGAUUGCUUGAAUCAAACCUUAGAACUUAAAUCUAUCAAUGGGGAAGAAUGUUUCUUAUUAGGAUCAUAUGAAAAGUCUGUUCAGCUGUGGCAAAUAGCUCUACAAGAAAUCGAAGAGAAAGGAGGAAGAAGGACGUAUUUUCUUCAGAUACGCUAUUAUCUUUCUCUCUUAUACUGCCACCUCUAUAGCUAUAAUUUAAAUGAUGCUCAAGGAUUGUGUGAUCAGCUAGCAAGAGAAAUCCUGAGAUGGUCCCAACUACCUGUAAAAGAAAAUAAAGCGUUUUCAGGUGCUGCGAAGUCUCAUUUUGAGUGUGGAAUGGUGGGCGGUGUUCAUCCUGAGGCAGCAGUGAGAGUCGUCCAGUCCAUGGCUCGUUUCAUGGCUGCCUAUUUCACCAAUCAGCAGCUUUGCAUUUUGCCCCCUCAUCAUGUGAAUGUUCUUCCCCCACUUCAUAUUAAAACAGAGCAGUCCUUUCGACUUAUUCCUCUGCAACACUCUAAGGUGGCCAGUGUUGUUAGAGAUCAGAAUCUCUCUAAUGUGUGGACAGUUGAAUAUGCACUUGAAUUACUAUUUAUUGGUGGCCUGGUUCCAGAGGCUGUGUGGUUGGCAUAUAAACUUGGAGACUGGAAGACGUCUGUUUCAAUUGGUGUGGCUUUCCAGCUGUUCUGUAAACAUGAUAGCAAUUUCAUGAGGUCCAAGAAAAAGAGUCUGAAUCUACCACUACGUAUGACUCCAGCACAGAUUUUUCAGGAAAAACUGCAGUGUUUUUUAGGUCAACCAACCUCUUUGGAAGCAAAAAAUGAAAUGGGCUCGAAAUAUAAACAGUUUACAGAUCCCAUUGAAGAGGAAGAUGCAAAUCUGCUAUUUGGUUCAGUACAAGAAGUACUGAAAGCAUCAGUUAUGGCCGAUGCAGAUAUUCUUUCGGAGACAUUUCAACUUCUGAUAGACUCUGCCAAGGACUUCAGUAAAAGACUGUGGGGCUUAGUGCCAUUCGGCUUGUAUCUUCCAGCUCCUCCAUUGUACUGUCCCCAGCCAGCUAUUCUUAGUGAAGAAGAUGGUGAUGAUCUUCUUUUAAAAGCUGAAAAAAAUAAUCGCCAGAAGGUAUCUGGAAUCCUUCAGCGUGUUCUCCUGCUUUUCCGGGCGGCUCAGUGUUCUUUUCCUGUAGCACAGUGGUAUAUCUUGCAGUUGAGGUGGGCAAGAAAAGUCAUGCAGAAGAUUCGAAUGAAAGGAUCCCUUCCUUCACUGAGUCCUUUUCCUCAGUCAUUACUUAAUUACUGUAAAGGAGGUAUCGCAUUUUUUAGACCUGGAGCAGCUGGAGACCACAAGCUUGAUGAAGUUUCCAUUAGAGCAAUAGGUUGCUUCAGAGAACUUUGUGCUCUGUGUUGGAUGCUGCAUGUCCGUGAUAAGUUAUCCUAUAGUUGCAGGCAAUAUCAGAAAGCAAGAGAAAAUGUAAAAGGAGAAAAGGACCUUGAAGUGGAGUUUGAUUCUUGUAUGAUUGAGCACUGUCUUAGUGCGGUGGAAUGGGCUUAUAGAAUGCUGCCUUUCUCUCGGUUUUUUAAUAUGGAAGAACUUAUUCAGGAUAUAAUUUUGAGCCUUAUUGGAGAACUGCCACCAAUCAGAAAGGUAGCAGAAAUUUUCGUGAAAGCAUUUCCCUAUCCUGAGGACGUGAGGGUUCCUUUAAGAGACAAAUAUCACUCUCUUCACCAGAGACUCAGACACUGUGUUGUGAAAGGACCCCAGACUGAGGAAGUGAUGUCUGUUGUCAUGCAUUCUAUCCAGAAAGUGAGGGUGAAAGCUCUAAAACGUGUGCAGAGAAAUAUAGGCUCUUUUGAAGUGAAUAUAUGGGAACCAAUUGAAGAAGAGAAACCAGAUGAGGCUCCAGGUUUUGACAGAUAUUCCCUGGGGACUAGUUUGAGCAGAAGUACACUCACAGAACUGGGGGAUUCUGUGGUUCACAGUGAUGCAGAUACAUUCUCUGAAGCUUUGUCGGUUGAAGAAAAAAGUAGGAUAAAUAUCUAUCAAAGAAAUGCUCCAAAUCACAUGGAAUUAACAUCGAUUCGUAAGCCAACUGAUAAAAAGAAAAUGUGUAAUCAGAAAGAAAAUCCUACAAAGAAAGAAGAUCAUGAAAAGUUAUCACAAAAUACACUUCCUGUAAUAGGUGUUUGGGAAUUUGAACGUGAUGAUGAUGAAUAUAUUAAAUUCCUUGAUCUGUUUUUGAGUUACAUUCUUGAAAGAGACCUACCUUAUUCCAGGGAUGCUGGCAUUCCAUUUCUAACUAGUUUUUCUGGAAAGCUUAGAGAACAUGAACUUAAUUCUUUACUUUUUGAUGUACAUACAACAUUAAAACGACGUCAGAGCAAAACUAAAAGCCAGAAUGUGUUUAGAGCUGGUUCUUGCUUUGUUGUUGCUCCUGAGUCCUAUGAAUCAGAAAAAUCAUCCUCUUUAAAUGAUGACUAUGGCAUGCAUUUAGAAAACCAGGAACUUUCAUCAUCAGUACUGGUUAAUCAAGGGAUCAAACCUUUUUUACAAUAUCCUUCGAAUGAAGUCAAUAAGAAUGAAGGAAUGAGUGGAUUAUUUGGUUUAAAACAAAAGUCAAUUUACAAAAUACAAGAUGACACUAGAGAGAAAUGUCUAAUCCAGAGAUCAUCAAACCACAUUUUUUGGACUCCCAAGUCCAUUAAAACUAGAAGAUGUAUUUUCAAAGCUAUUCAGUGCAAUGAUAUUAACCCUCAAGAAGAUCUUCCUUUAGCACUAAACACAUUUGGCAGUAUAGGAAGACUGCUGGAAUGGAUGAUAAGGUGGUCUAAUAGAAGGCUACUCUGUGAUUCUGGUAUAACUGAGUCAUCCUCUGAGUACAGUCCAGUAAUUCGUGUAAAGACCUCUGCAGCUGCCAUUCUUACAUCAUUAUGGCUUUUGGAACAACCCUAUUUUGCUACAUAUAAGGCAAAAAAUGCCAUUAUUAAGAUGGUAGAGAAUCGUGACACUGGGUGUCAGAUUGGACCCAAUAUUGAGAGGGAGAGCAAAUCAGAUGCUGGCGGUUCAGUUGCAGUAGCAACUCCAGGUGGAACUGAGGAAAGAAAUGGUCAGAAUAAAUCUUGUCAAAAUAUCUUGAAUAGAAUGCCAACUGAAGCAAAAAAUCCUGAUAUAAAAGAAAUCAAUGAUGAUAUUAUUUCCGUCACUCAUAAUACUAAAAAAGAAUUUAUAGAUAUUGAUGAGAAUCUUUUAGAAGUAGAAGCAUUUACAGAAGAGGAAAUGGAUAUGCACAUAUCAGACUAUGAAGAAGACAUUGAAGAAUCUGUUGGAGGUUUCAGAAGUCCCAGUCUUGCCAUUUGCAUGAUGACUUUACCACAGCAGUUAGAAGAAGAGUUCACAGAAGAGGUUCAGUGUCAAAGGGAAGAACCACUGGAGACAAUUAUGGAGGAAAAAUCGACUGAACAAAAAGGUAUGAUCGAAGCCUUUUCACAUCCUGAGCAUACCACUCCUCAAUCAAUGCAAGUAGAUACAAGUUCAGAAAUUUCUAGUGCACAGAUUUCUACAUAUAAAGACAAAUCUUCCUCAGUUCCACUUCUGAUAUCAAAUGGAGUCAAUGUUGCUUCACAACCACCUGUGCCAACACCUCAGAAGACCCAGAGAAAUGAAUGCACGGCUCAGUUACCAGAUUCUUCGGAGUCUGUUAGGCAGAUGCUGCAAGAUGAAAUGUUUAAAUUAGUUCAGAAUCCUGUUCACAAGAUUCCUGACUCGCAUGAGAUAACGCUGAAGCAUGGCACUAAAACAGUGUCUGCUUUGGAUCUGGAUGCCUCAGGUGCCCGUUUGGUGACAGGUGGAUAUGACUGUGAUGUUAAGUUUUGGGAUUUUGCUGGAAUGGAUGCUUCUUUUAAGGCAUUUCAAUCCCUUCAGCCCUGUGAGUGGCUGGGCGUGGUGGCUCACACUUGUAAUUCCAGAACUUUAGAAAGCCGAGGCAGGCGGAUCACCUGAGGCCUGGAGUUUGAGACCAGAAUGGACAACAUGGCAAAAGCCCGUUGGAAAUGGCCAUCUUCUCUCAGUAUCCUCACAUGGAUGGUGAUUGCUCACACCAAAGCCUUGGACCCCUCCCAGCCUGUGACCUUUGUGACCAACUCCACCUACGCAGCAGACAAGGGGG